GAUGAAGAACGCAGCGAAAUGCGAUACGUAAUGUGAAUUGCAGAAUUCAGUGAAUCAUCGAAUCUUUGAACGCAUAUUGCGCUCUCUGGUAUUCCGGAGAGCAUGCUUGUUUGAGUAUCAGUAAACACCUCAACUUCCAUAUCUUUUUUGAAAUGGGAGUUGGACUUGAGUGAUCCCAACGCUUUUCCUCACCGAAAAGUGGCGGGUUACUUGAAAUGCAGGUGCAGCUGGACUUUUCUCUGAGCUAUAAGCAUAUCUAUUUAGUCUGCCUAAAAAACAGAUUAUUACCUUUGCUGCAGCUAACAUAAAGGAGAUUAGUUCUUGUGCUGACUGAUGCAGGAUUCACAAAGACAGGCUUCGGCCGACUUUGUAAACUCGAUCUCAAAUCAAGUAAGACUACCCGAUGAACUUAAGCAUAUCAAUAAGCGGAGGA
rnacentral:misc_RNA from 1 species